rnacentral:sRNA from 1 species
AGGUAAAAGAAACAGUCGGUGCGAAGUCGUAACAUGGUAGUUGACAGUGAACUUGUAGCUGAACCAAAAAUGGCUGCUGGAAGUAGAAAUCGUUAUUAAGCGUCAGGAAGUCCUGGACGUUGAAUCCAAUAGCAUUG